rnacentral:rRNA from 1 species
GCCGGAGAGACUAACAGGAUUCCCCUAGUAACUGCGAGUGAAGCGGGAAAAGCUCAAAUUUAAAAUCUGGCAGUCUCUGGCUGUCCGAGUUGUAAUCUAGAGAAGUAAUGCCCGUGCUGGACCGUGUAUAAGUCUCCUGGGAUGGGGCGUCAUAGAGGGUGAGAAUCCCGUCUUUGACACGGACUACCAGUGCAUUGUGGUAUGCUCUCAAAGAGUCGAGUUGUUUGGGAAUGCAGCUCAAAAUGGGUGGUAAAUUCCAUCUAAAGCUAAAUAUUGGCGAGAGACCGAUAGCGAACAAGUACCGUGAGGGAAAGAUGAAAAGAACUUUGGAAAGAGAGUUAAACAGUACGUGAAAUUGCUGAAAGGGAAACGCUUGAAGUCAGUCGCGUUGGCCGGGAAUCAGCCUUGCUUCUGCACGGUGUACUUUCUGGUUGACGGGUCAGCAUCAAUUUUGACCGCUGGAAAAAGGCCUGGGGAAUGUGGCAGCUUCGGCUGUGUUAUAGCCCCUAGUCGCAUACAGUGGUUGGGAUUGAGGAACUCAGCACGCCGCAAGGCCGGGUUUCGACCACGUUCGUGCUUAGGAUGCUGGCAUAAUGGCUUUAAGCGACCCGUCUUGAAACACGGACCAAGGAGUCUAACAUGCCUGCGAGUAUUUGGGUGGAAAACCCAAGUGCGUAAUGAAAGUGAAAGUUGAGAUCCCUGUCGCGGGGAGCAUCGACGCCCGGACCAGAACUUUUGGGACGGAUCCGCGGUGGAGCAUGUAUGUUGGGACCCGAAAGAUGGUGAACUAUGCCUGAAUAGGGUGAAGCCAGAGGAAACUCUGGUGGAGGCUCGUAGCGAUUCUGACGUGCAAAUCGAUCGUCAAAUUUGGGUAUAGGGGCGAAAGACUAAUCGAACCAUCUGGGCCC